rnacentral:tRNA from 1 species
GGGUAUAGCUCAAUGGUAAAGCAAAUGCUUAGCAGGCACAAGGUUCUGGGUUCAAUCCUCAGUACCACCG